rnacentral:rRNA from 1 species
AUUGAACGCUGGCGGCAUGCCUUACACAUGCGAGUCGAACGGUAACAGGUUAAGCUGACGAGUGGCGAACGGGUGAGUAAUGUAUCGGAACGUGCCCAGUCGUGGGGGAUAACUACUCGAAAGAGUGGCUAAUACCGCAUACGACCUGAGGGUGAAAGCGGGGGACCGUAAGGCCUCGCGCGAUUGGAGCGGCCGAUAUCAGAUUAGCUAGUUGGUGGGGUAAAAGCCCACCAAGGCGACGAUCUGUAGCUGGUCUGAGAGGACGACCAGCCACACUGGGACUGAGACACGGCCCAGACUCCUACGGGAGGCAGCAGUGGGGAAUUUUGGACAAUGGACGCAAGUCUGAUCCAGCCAUGCCGCGUGCGGGAAGAAGGCCUUCGGGUUGUAAACCGCUUUUGUCAGGGAAGAAACGAGUUUCUCUAAUACAGAGACUUAAUGACGGUACCUGAAGAAUAAGCACCGGCUAACUACGUGCCAGCCGCCGCCGUAACAC